GUAAAUAAGAAAUAAUUCUUAAAUCAAAUCUUUAAUAUUCCUUGUUUUUGGUGUACAAGCUGAAUUAUCCAAGAAAAAGUAAGACUCUUGCAGGAAAAAAUAGGGAAUCCAAACAGUUUUCAAAAACAAGCUGAUUUAACACUGUGCCAAGUAAAAUGUAAUCUUUCUUGUAUGGGGGAUAUGAUUAGAAAUACUGAAGCACAAUGCCCUAAAAUGGAAUGUUGUAAAGCGGUGAAAAACGCUCUUACUCAUUUAUUACAGAUGUACGAGUUAUAAAACUUACAAAAAUAUCUAGAAUACACUAACAGAAGUUAUAUAUUCUAUGUAUAAGUUAGUAGAAGAUACAGAGGUGAUUUAACGAGUUUACAGCAAAGUUUGGAGCUGAUUCUGUGGCCUAUCCUGGUGUAAAGGCAAUUUAUUUAAUGUUAAUAUGGUUGAAAUAGCGUCAUAAUAUUUAUUGUUUCUAAACUAAGAUAUAUAUCAAAUGUAAAAGUAUAGAAUACAAAAAUAAGAAUAGAUUUAUAGCUGUUUAGCAGUUCUCAAUAUUUAUUAGCUGCAUUUUUCUUUGUAUUUUUAUAGAUGAGAUUUUACAGGUUCAUACUAAACAAGUCAAAGCCAAGCCGAACGAGGUAGAAUAUUGGAAGAAUUUUAGUUUACAUUUGUAUACAUAAGUUACAAGAAAUAACACCUUGGGAAUAAGAAAAUUACAGAUAAUAAAUUAUUUACCUCCUAUAAAUACUAUCUUACGAUAUUAUUACAAAAAUGUUUUAAAUAUAUUUCUUGAUUGUAUGUGUAUAUCUGGUUGCCUAUACAGAAAAAAAAACAACCGGCGCCUUUACUAAAUAAUUUGAAUGCGCGCAAUGGAUAAAAAUAAAUAGUCCCCAUACACCAGAAAGCCCGGCCUGCCGAUUAGAUCUUACGACGUUUUAUAGCAGUUUUGGCCUGGCUCGCGAUCUUUUAAAAUUUCUAAAAGUUUUAAUCAGUCAUAUGUAAUAGAUUCAGCAUCGUCUGUGUUUUUAAAAAUGAACAACAAUCGAAAACGCGUUAUAUUGUGUAAGAGAGACCUACUACUAUAUUAAAAAGCGUCCAAAAGUUUGUUUUUUAGACAAAUCUAAUCUCACAGGCCAAGUCCGUGGACUAGGCUGAAUCUGCCAAAGACUUGGUCUAGCCCACAAACACAAAAAUUUCAGCCAAAGGCCAGAUCUUCUGGUGUAUGGGGUCCAUUAGAAAAAACAAGAAUUGCGUUUCUUGUAUCUUUUAUUUACAAAGCCAGAACAAUACAAGCACUGAAUGUACACUACAAAGUACUAAAAGUGAUCGUCAACGGAUCAAAGUGUUUUUUAAAAACAACCGUGUUACAAUUUCUUUCGGGACUCAAUAAACCAAACUGAAAAAGACAAUAACCUGAACAAAACCGAAAUAAAUAUACGAACAAGCAGUCUACCCAUCUAAGUGUUUACACCAUUUUUUAUAUAGUCUACGUUUGGUUGUUUUAUUCUUUCCACUACAAAAUGAAAUAUUUAUUCAUUUAUUUACACAGUCGACAUUAUUUUUUUGAACGGUUUUUCUUUUCCUUUACACGAGAUAAUACAAAAUAACAAAAUAAAUUAACAGCUGGACAUUUACAGUGUUGUGUGACUCAAGUCAAGAUCUACCAUAUUAUAAGUCUAGGUUUUUAUUUUUAUCUUAAGUCUCCUUAAUUAUCAGUUCACUAAUUGUGAAAUUUAAAUAAGAGCGACCAAAUUUAAAUACGUUCGUUCAUUUAAAAACGCCCAGUAUAUCGUGAAAUUACGUUUUUUUAUAAUUAGUUUAAAUGACCUACAGGCAAUAUUGCGUUUAGUUUAAAUAAGAAAAAAUAUUUUUGAUAAAGGUGUGCGUGCUAUGUGGCAAAAAAUGAUAAUUCUACGCCUACCGUAACACCGUUUUCAAUUGACACAUAGUACAGGGCGUGUU